GUACGGGAGGCAGCAGUGGGGAAUUUUGGACAAUGGGGGCAACCCUGAUCCAGCCAUGCCGCGUGAGUGAAGAAGGCCUUCGGGUUGUAAAGCUCUUUCGGCCGGAACGAAAUCGCGUACGUGAAUAACGUGCGUGGAUGACGGUACUGGAAGAAGAAGCACCGGCUAACUACGUGCCAGCAGCCGCGGUAAUACGUAGGGUGCGAGCGUUAAUCGGAAUUACUGGGCGUAAAGCGUGCGCAGGCGGUUCUGCAAGUCAGAUGUGAAAUCCCCGGGCUUAACCUGGGAACUGCGUUUGAAACUACGGAGCUAGAGUACGGCAGAGGGGGGUGGAAUUCCACGUGUAGCAGUGAAAUGCGUAGAUAUGUGGAGGAACACCGAUGGCGAAGGCAGCCCCCUGGGCCGAUACUGACGCUCAGGCACGAAAGCGUGGGGAGCAAACAGGAUUAGAUACCCCGGU
rnacentral:rRNA from 1 species